rnacentral:lncRNA from 1 species
UUUUUUUUUUUUUUUUUUUUUAAGUGCUGGGAUCAUAUUUCACAGAACGUAUUCAAAUUCGUGGAGGAAUAAUGAAGAUUGAGGCUACUGCUCAUUGCCAGUUUUGUCAUUCAUACUUUUAAAUUAAGAGUUUGCAUUUAUAGAACUCUGAAUAGCUGAUCAUUUACAUAGCUGAAGGACAUGUCCCUGAAUGAGACCAUUAUAUAUAUUAACUAAAAUAUUUCACUAUUUUUUUAUUUUAUAAAUCUUUGUAGAAAUAAGCAAUGAAAUGCUACUUUCAUCUUUUGAACUGGGAUUUUUCAAGGUUGUGUCCUUUUGGCAUUAAGGUAGGGGGGAGUUAAUAUUCUCUCUACUUAUUUCCACAUGAAUCAAUAUGAAGUCGUGGACAUUUAAAAAUCUCAAUUUAAUUUCUACUUAUUUACUAUGCAGUAUAGCCGUGAACAAGUAAUGUAGAUUUAGUUUUCUCAUCUUCAAAUGCCCUGAUUACCCUACCUCACAGGGUUGUUGUGGGGAUAAAUAAAACUUUUAUGGAAGUACUUUCUUUGAUGACAUUUUUUCAGCCUUUCAAAACAAUGGAAUUUUGAGCAUUCUUCCCUUCUGUUUUACAAGUAUAUGGGUUUUCACAUUCUUCACUUUUAGACCUUAGAACAUGCCUGUAAGGACCAUAGAGUGAGUCAAAUAUCAGGAAGAGCCAAUAGAGAAACAGGGUCGGAGCUAUGAACCAAGAUCAGACUCAGUGCAGUGGAGUGUGCUGGCACUAUGUAUAACCUACAUAAGUCAGGCCAAUCUACAAAAUACUGUUAUCAAAGGAAUAUGAAGCCACAUCUGUCGGGCUAAAGGUAGCAUCUAGUUUUGAAACUACAAGGAAACUGCACCUUCCAGAUUAAUUCAUAUCCAGAUGAAAGGUCACAGCUGGGAGUAGAAUACAGGUUUCUUAAUUAUUAUCAUCCAGUGUAAUCGUACUGUUCAAUUACUGUGAACCAAGAUAAAAGAAAAUAUCUGAGGUUAAUCCAGACAAAGAAGCUUGGUGAGAACUCUUUACAUACAAGCUGACUUGGUUCAUGAUUUGAAUUCACUUUCCGGAGUCUUGGAUGUUAUUUAUAAAAUGGGUAACACUAAUAUCUACCUUUGAGGAAUCUAAAGAUAAACCACAAAGCAGUCAAUAGCAGGAGAGGGUGCCCAUAGUUGCUGAGAACUUGAUAUAUGAGUGUGUUAGGAAAUGGGUGGCCAUGGUCGGAAAUACUAUCAGGAAAGCUGAGGAUGUAGUUCAUUGGGUAUCUUGCAUGCACAAAGGCCUGGUUUGGUCUCUGGCUUGGAAUGAAACCAUCCUGGUGGCAAAUACUUGAAAUCCCAGUGGAGGCAGGGUCAAACAUCCAAACUCAUUCUUCACUACAUAACAGGCUUGAGGCCACUCAGAUUCUUGUCAAGAUACUAAUGCUGAAGGUGUAGAUUACUAUCAAGUAGUCGGCUUGUUUGGUGUGUAGAGUCAUGAGUUCUAGCCCUAGAACCUAAAACUAAAGUCCUUACUAUUGUUAGUCAACUACUAAACCAAAGAUUUCUGUUUAUAAAAUUGACAUCUGCCAUAAGCACUGCCUAGCACUGGAGGUUACCAUUGGUUACUGUUGGAGAAAGGGUCACGGAAAAGAGCUGCAGAGUGCUAGUAGUCAUUCAAGUCAAGUCCCUGUUAAGAGUUUUUGGAGGGAAGGAUUGGUUAUGGGGGGAGAAGGCCAGCUAGGAGUUCUAUGGGUCUGCACAAGCUUCGCUUGGUGGACCCACCUGGAGUGCCAGCACUUCAGGAGAUGGAGGCAGACAGACAGUUGAGGACCAUUCAGAGCAUUGACUACAAGAAACCUCAAGAGCAAUAGUGUAUAACUUGAGUGUUCUCUUUCUUCAACUUCUGAAGGCAUUCAUUGGCUGCUAGUGAAAGUUGAGACUGAUUAAAUUUGGGAACAGCCUGGCUUACUGUCUGAAUCUAGAGAACUUCUUGAAGAAAGGUAUGUUUGUUACUCUAGAGCAUUCUGAUAACCCCAAAAGGUGUGAGAGCUUGAGGCAUGUUUGCUUGCUCUCUAGUGAGCUUUGGCCCCUACUCCAGAGCUUAAUGGUUAGGUCAUGUUUCUUGAGUGGAUGUGGUUUGGGGUUAAAGUGUAAAAAGUCAAUUAGCUGUUUCUGUAUCAAAUCAGAAAUAAAACGGUUUCAAAUGACUUGGUAAUUUUGGAAUUUUGUAGGAGACUGUUACUCAAUGUCUUAGGUUUUUACUUCUGUGAACAGACACCAUGAUCAAUGCAAGUCUUAUAAAAGACAACAUUUAAUUGGGGCUAGCUUAUAGGUUGAGUUUCAGUCCAUUAUCAAGGCAGGAGUGUGGCAACUAGGAGAAUACUAGAUUCCAGGCAACUAGGAGGCUGGUCUUAAAGCCCAGGCCCACAAUGACACACUUCCUCCAAUCAAGGCCACAUCUCCUAAUAGUCGACAACUUCCUGGGCCAAGCAUAUUCAAUCCACCACAUUCCACUCCUUUGCCCCAAUAGGCUUGUUCAUAGGCAUGAGUCUAUAGGGGCCAUACCUAGCUCUAGCCUAAUGCAAGAUACAUUUAAUCCAACUUCAAAAGUCCCCAUAGUAAAUAGCAGUCUCAACAAUGUUAAAAAUCCACAAAAUCUCAUCUGAAAUUCCUGCAGUCACUUAACUGUAAUCCUAUAUAAAGUCAAAAAAUACUGGACAAACUCCAUGUCCCAUGUCAAAGCGCUCUUCACAUCAUCUCCAACUCCUUUCAUCCUUGUUGACUGCUGUUGGCAGAUAUGGCAUUCAGCUGCAACAAAACAAACUUCAUUCUCUUGGGCUGGUUCCACUUUCUGUUAGCAGCUUUACUUGGCAUCUGUAUCCCACAGCUCUGACAUCUUGGGAUAUCCAAGGGAACUUCAACUUUAUAGUUCCAAUGUCUGGGCUCCUCAAAGGGCUUGGUCAUUCUCCAGCUCUGUCUUUUGUAGAACUCUUGGGCUCUGGUUGACCCCACUUAACUGCUGCUGCUGCUCUUGGUGGUCAUUCCAUGGCACUGGCAUCUCUUCAAUAUGCUGGGGUCUUCCACUGCAACUAGGCUUUCCCAACAGCCUCUCAUAGUAGUGCCCCUUUCGUAGUGCCAGACCUCAAUUUCUUUGCAUGACUCCUUCAUUCCUGGAUUAUCAACUGCAACUGAGGCUGCACCUUCACCAAUGGCCUUCCAUGGCCUCUCACAGUACCAAGCCUUAGCUGUUCUUCAUGACCCCUUCAUGCCUUCAAAACCAGUACCACCUAGGUGACUUAACAUCACCAAGUCCAGCUACAGUUUAAGGUACAACCUUGGUAUCACAGCAAUAUCCCAGUUCCUGGUACCAACUUCUGUCUUAGGUAUUUACUGCUGUGAACAGACACCAUGACCAAGAUAACUCUUAUAAGGACAUUUAACUGUGGCUGGCAUACAGUUUCAGAGGGUCAGUCCUUUAUGAUCAAGGUGGGAGUAUGGCAACGUCUAGGCGGGCAUGGUGCAGGAGGAGUUGAGUUUUCUACAUCUUCAUUUGAAGGACACUAGAAGGCUGGCUUGCAGGCAGCUAGAAGGAGGGUCUUAAAGCCCAUACCUACAAUGACACUUCCUCCAACAAGGCCUAGACACAUCCUAAUAGUGCUAUUCCCUAAGCCAAGCAUAUUCAAACCAUCACACAGGUAAGUUCCAAACUCCUGGUGAUCCUCCUGCCUCAGCUUGCAAGUAGCUGGAACUACAGACAUGCACCACUACACCCAGCAAACAAGAAUCACAACUCUGAAGGGAAUUCUUUUGUUUGAAUCUGCCUGUACUUGG